UCCUGCAACAUAUUCCAUAUAUUUAAAUUACUCUGUCUUUAUACAAUUGAGAACUACAGGGUAGGGACACAAUAAAUCAUAUUCUUUAUUCUUUAUAAGUUUAUAAUUGUGAAAUUCAAUACGUCGUCUCAAUCAAUCGUAUAUUACCAAAAUUAUCUUUUAUUUCUUGGCACUUGGUUCAGCUUUUUACCUGCACAUUUAGCUGGGCGUAUAUUUCACUCUCGAGAGGAAUCACCGUUGUUUCGCCACUGCCAUCUAGAACAAUAACAUCGGAAUCGGUCGUUCCAGAAGUAGUGGAACCAUCGUUAUCGUUGGAAUCCCAUCGUUUCGAUCCUAUAGGGUAACAAGCAUAAUUGCAUCCUUCCAGAAGCAAUGGGCCAA